rnacentral:rRNA from 1 species
ACCAACCUACCCUCGGGAGGGGGAUAACCCCGGGAAACUGGGGAUAAUCCCCCAUAGGUGUAGACUUCUGGAAUGGGUCUACGCCGAAAGGGCUACGGCACCAUCCCUGCCGUAGCUGCCCGAGGAUGGGGCUGCGGCCUAUCAGGUAGUUGGCGGGGUAACGGCCCGCCAAGCCUAUAACGGGUAGGGGCCGUGAGAGCGGGAGCCCCGAGAUGGGCACUGAGACAAGGGCCCAGGCCCUACGGGGUGCACCAGGGGCGAAACUUCCGCAAUGCGGGAAACCGUGACGGAGUCACCCCGAGUGCCACCCGAUGAGGGUGGCUUUUGCCCGGUCUAAAAAGCCGGGCGAAUAAGCGGGGGGCAAGCUUGGUGUCAGCCGCCGCGGUAUUACCAUCCCCGCGAGUGGUCGGGACGUUUAUUGGGCCUAAAGCGUCCGUAGCCGGCCCGGUAAGUCCCUCCUUAAAGCCCACGGCUCAACCGUGGGAGCGGAGGGAUACUGCCGGGCUAGGGGGCGGGAGAGGCAGGGGUACUCCUGGGGUAGGGGCGAAAUCCUAUAAUCCCAGGAGGACCACCAGUGGCGAAGGCGCCCGGCUAGCACGCGCCCGACGGUGAGGGACGAAAGCUGGGGGAGCAAAGGGGAUUAGAUACCCCCGUAGUCCCAGCUGUAAACGAUGCAGGCUAGGUGUUAGGCGAGCUUCGAGCCCGCCUAGUGCCGUAGAGAAGCCGUUAAGCCUGCCGCCUGGGGAGUACGGCCGCAAGGCUGAAACUUAAAGGAAUUGGCGGGGGAGCACCACAAGGGGUGAAGCUUGCGGUUUAAUUGGAGUCAACGCCGGAAACCUUACCGGGGGCGACAGCAGGAUGAAGGCCAGGCUAACGACCUUGCCAGACGAGCUGAGAGGAGGUGCAUGGCCGUCGCCGGCUCGUGCCGUGAGGUGUCCUGUUAAGUCAGGGAACGAGCGAGACCCCCGCCCCUAGUUGCUACCCGGUCCUUCGGGACCGGGGCACUCUAGGGGGACUGCCGGCGAUAAGCCGGAGGAAGGUGGGGGCUACGGCAGGUCAGUAUGCCCCGAAACCCCCGGGCUACACGCGAGCUGCAAUGGCGGGGACAACGGGUUCCGACCCCGAAAGGGGGAGGCAAUCCCUUAAACCCCGCCUCAGUAGGAAUCGAGU